rnacentral:rRNA from 1 species
GAUGAACGCUGACAGAAUGCUUAACACAUGCAAGUCAACUUGAACUUCGGUUUGGGUGGCGGACUGGUGAGUAACGCGUAAAGAACUUGCCUCACAGAUAGGGACAACAUUUGGAAACGAAUGCUAAUACCUGAUAUUAUGAUUAUAUGGCAUCGUAUAAUUAUGAAAGCUAUAUGCGCUGUGAGAGAGCUUUGCGUCCCAUUAGCUAGUUGGAGAGGUAACGGCUCACCAAGGCGAUGAUGGGUAGCCGGCCUGAGAGGGUGAUCGGCCACAAGGGGACUGGGACACGGCCCUUACGCAUACGGGAGGCAGCGGUGAAAAAUAUAGGAAGACAGGCCAAGAGUGUGAACAAGCAAUUCUGAGUGUAAGAUGAAGUUUUUCGGGAUGAAAAGUGCUUUCAGUUGGGAAGAAAAAAAUGACGGUACCAACAGAAGAAGCGACGGCUAAAUACGUG